GACAGAGGAGCCAAGCGUUGUCCGGAUUGACUGGGCGUAAAGCGCACGCAUGCGUCCGUGCACGUGGGGUGUGAAAGCUGGCGGCUUAACUGCCAGACGCCACCUCAUACGGCACGGCUCGAGCCCGUGAGAGGUCCACGGAAUUGCCGGUGUAGUGGUGAAAUGCGUAGAGAUCGGCAGGAACACCCAGGGGGAAACCAGUGGACUGGCACGGUGCUGACGCUCAGGUGCGAAAGCGUGGGGAGCGAACCGG
rnacentral:rRNA from 1 species